UCCGUCCGUACUUCGUCCCCGGUCUCCCUUCCUCGUCUCCGAGUCCGUCCUGUCCCAGCUCUCCCUCCGCAUCCCACUCGCGGGCGCAUAUGCCCGCGUAUCUAGGCUAGCUCAGUGGGUCUAGGUCUAGGCUGGUCGCGACGUCGUGCGCGCGUGUAGUAUGCACUAUGCACCGGCGCGGCGCGGCCGUUCGGCGAUGCAGCCGCGUGCGCACGUCUCAGGAGCACGUCACAGUGCACGGACGCAAAAAGUAAGUACUAGUAAACAUGUGAAACAAGAGAUGCUCCAAUCAUUGUGAAGCUGACUGUACGCGAACGAAAGUGAACGAGCAGAUAGGAAGAAACCUACGCACGCUCUCUUCCUCUUUCCGCGAUCUUUCUAUCCUCGCAAUGAACGAGCAGAAAAUGUACAUCUUAGCAAAAAGGAGGGAUCUUUAACUCUGACGAACGGGAGCAAGUUGAAACGAUAAAGAACAGCAGUUUAGAAGAAUAGCCAUCGUGCGACUGCAAGUACAAGUAGAAAAAGAAAUGUGAUUUCUGAGACUGGACCACAAGAAAGAAAGAGAAAGAGA